rnacentral:rRNA from 1 species
AUGAACGCUGGCGGCGUGCUUAACACAUGCCAGUCGCACGAUGAAGCCCAGCUUGCUGGGUGGAUUAGUGGCGAACGGGUGAGUAACACGUGAGUAACCUGCCCUUAACUCUGGGAUAAGCCUGGGAAACUGGGUCUAAUACCGGAUAGGAGCGUCCACCGCAUGGUGGGUGUUGGAAAGAUUUAUCGGUUUUGGAUGGACUCGCGGCCUAUCAGCUUGUUGGUGAGGUAAUGGCUCACCAAGGCGACGACGGGUAGCCGGCCUGAGAGGGUGACCGGCCACACUGGGACUGAGACACGGCCCAGACUCCUACGGGAGGCAGCAGUGGGGAAUAUUGCACAAUGGGCGCAAGCCUGAUGCAGCGACGCCGCGUGAGGGAUGACGGCCUUCGGGUUGUAAACCUCUUUCAGUAGGGAAGAAGCGAAAGUGACGGUACCUGCAGAAGAAGCACCGGCUAACUACGUG